AUACAGGCUAGCGGCGGACGGGUGAGUAACACGUGGGUAACCUGCCCAAGAGAUCGGGAUAACACCUGGAAACAGAUGCUAAUACCGGAUAACAACAGAUGAUGCCUAUCAACUGUUUAAAAGAUGGUUCUGCUAUCACUCUUGGAUGGACCUGCGGUGCAUUAGCUAGUUGGUAGGGUAACGGCCUACCAAGGCGAUGAUGCAUAGCCGAGUUGAGAGACUGAUCGGCCACAUUGGGACUGAGACACGGCCCAAACUCCUACGGGAGGCAGCAGUAGGGAAUCUUCCACAAUGGACGCAAGUCUGAUGGAGCAACGCCGCGUGAGUG
rnacentral:rRNA from 1 species